UACAGAGGAUGCAAGCGUUAUCCGGAAUUAUUGGGCGUAAAAGCGCACGUAGGCGGUUUGUUAUGUCGGAUGUGAAAGCCCUUGGCUCAACUGAGGAAGUGCAUCCGAAACUGGCAAGCUAGAGUAUGUAAGAGGGUCGCGGAAUUCCCGGUGUAGAGGUGAAAAUUCGUAGAUAUCGGGAGGAACACCGGUGGCGAAGGCGACUUACUGGACACAUAUUGACGCUGAGGUGCGAAAGCGUGGG
rnacentral:rRNA from 1 species